rnacentral:lncRNA from 1 species
UUUUGUUUACCUUUUGUUUCAUAUUUAUUUAUGUUGAUGUCAAUAAGUGAAAAGAAUUAAAAUCAUCAAGUUGGUUCCCAAACCAAAAUAGGCAUAGCAUUAUGCAAUGGACAAAGGUUCGUUUAAGUUACUAUAAAUAAUUAAUUAAUAGAUUUCUUGUUUUAAAAAAAUUGUAAGUUCAAUUCGGUCUGUAUUAUUACAUGUAUUUUUAUUCGAGUCAUCCAUCAGAACCUCUUGUUCAAGCACUUGGACUCCUUCAUCCCGAUUGCCGUUGCUCCUAAAAGUAUAACAUUUAAACGCCUCCGCCAUGGUUUUUGGACCCAACACCCCUCUUUCACUGGACAGAAACCCACCGAGAAAACCCGAUUUCGAGCUCCGAAGUCGAAGACAGAAAUUAGGUCUUGGACGAUAACUAAAACUAUUAAGCUUAGAAGAAGAAUUAGGAAGAAAAUUGAAAGUAGGUUGACGGAGAAAGAACGCGGCAGCUGCCAUUUUCGGUUAGGUCUGAGAAAGCAGAGCAGAGGAGGCGGAAAUGAGAAGAGGAGGAGCAGACAAGAAUCACCAUUAGAAUAUGUAGUGAAGUUUGAUAGAUACAAUUAAUUUUCAGUUGCUAUGGAGUAGAUUGUUUGGCUGAGAAUAAUCCAAAUGUAGCAUCUGGGGAAGAGACGUAAUGUCGAUGCUUUUUUCUGUGAAUAGAAAUAGCAGUUGCGAGAAGGACUCAGAUUACAGACGCUGACAGGUUGACCGACUGGGAACAGUAUCGGAUCGUCGUCUUCUUCAUCUAAUCAAAUCACA